rnacentral:lncRNA from 1 species
AAUAUGGUUAUCAUAUCUACUCACAGUCAUCUCCCUUUUGCUGAAUAGAAUUGAGAAGCUGAAGCGUGGUUUUGGUAUGCACGUCCCUGAAGAGUUUAGGUAGCUGGAUAUAAUGCGGGGUUCCUGCAUUUCUAAUAAUCAGUUUAAUCACCUCCCUCGGAGCUACCUAUUGGAGGGCAAGUUUGUGAUUUCUACUGAACUUGACAUGGACGCUUUUUAAGUAGUACUUGGAGUGUUGGUGAGCAGCAGAUGUAGCACUCAAGCUGUGAUCACAUGAUCUUGUGGUUGUACUAUUGAUGACCUUGGUCCUACUAAUUCAGUUUAUUUGCUGAAAGCUAUGUUUGGAAAUGAUGCAAUCUGCCAGGCAACAAUAAUUUCUCUGGAGCCUGUACUUAUUAGUGUUAUUGUCUUGAUGUAUUUUCUCACCACGGGAAGCCUUAGGUAUACGUACAAUUAUCGGCUUGUAAUAUGUUCCUAGUGCUAUACUUCUCUAAUAUAUUUAUAUAUGUUACUCUUGCAUCUCUUCCUAGUAUCAUAUGGUGCUCUGCUUCCGUGAGCUUGUGUAUUAGAAGUUGUUAAAUAUUGUGUAUUAGAAGUUGUUAAAUAUUGAUUGGUGGCGGCCAUGUCUGCACCCGAGCUCAAAUGAGCUAUGUUGAACCAUAAAAUCAGAAAUAUAUAUAAAAAGAUCUAGUUUCAUUAUGGUAAACUAUGACAAAUGUUCUAAGAGUUUGCAAUAUUUCAUCACAAAAUCACAUUUGGAGUUGUAGCAAAAAAACAAAAUUGAUACUCUAAAAAUGCUAUUAUCGAAAGCAUUUUAAAGCACUAAUUUUGUUUUAUUGUCAUCACUUUCAUAAAUGUGAUUUAGUGAUGAAAUUUUGAAACCUUUUAGAACAUUUAUCAUAAAAAAGUUCAGCUUUUUUGAAAUAUUUUAAAUAUUUUCGGAGUUGUUAAUCUCGGCUUAUUUGAGCUCUGGUGUAGAAAGGCAUUUUUGACACGCUUGUUAUCUAUAUGACCAAAUCCUAACUGAGCUUGCUCGUAGUUGCGCAAAUUUGACAUUGCUUGUGGCACUCUGUGUUCAUAUCUUCGCUCUGUUGUUUGUCAUGGAAAAAAAUGUUGAUGUGGAACUAUUUUUUUUAGUACCGACCACAUUGAUGUUGUGGUGUGGAAGAAGGAUCAUCUUUCUCGUGAAUGGUGUUUUACGAGUUUCUAUGGAGCUUCGAAAGUCAAUGCUAAUCUCCGUUAGAGCGGUGUGGAGGCACAAUGCUCCCCAAGAUGCCACUAAGGCCACCGUAAUCUCCUCACGCCCUCGCACAAUGCAAGAUGCUGUGAUUCCACUAAGGGACCCUUGAGGGCGGUCACCGAACCCGUACAAAUGGCAAACCUUGGGGGCGGUCACCGAACCCGUACACGUGGCAACCCUUGGGGGUGGUUACCGGUACCCGUACAAAUUGCUCGGGGCUAUCUCCACAACCUAAUUGGAGGCCCCGACGCUUGCCCGGAGCUUCACACCACAAUGAUUGAGCUCCGAGCCACCACCAAGCUUCUAGGAUGCCAAAGCAUCCACGAAGAACAAUAUCUAGGGUACUAAGUACCAAAGGUAGUAAGCUUCUCAACUUCUCACUUCCACGUAUCACCGUGGAGAACUCAAACGAAGCAACUAAUGCAAUUGCAAGAACACACGAAGUGGUCAAGUCCCUCACACUCAAAUCCCUCCACAACAAAAAAGCUAUGGAGAAAUAUGAGAGGAAGAACAAGGAGCUCACAAAGAACUCCAAGAUCUAGAUCCAAGGGGUUCCCCUCACAUAGAGGAGAAAGUGAUUGGUGGAGAUGUGGAUCUAGAUCUCCUCUCUCUUUUCCCUCAAGAACAAGCAAGAAUCAUUCGAGGGAUUGAGAGUUAGCAAGCUCUAAGAAUGUCAACAAUGGAGGUAGAACAAGAGCUCAACGGAUAGAUCAGGCCAAGGGGGAAGAAGACCCCCUUUAUAUAGUGGGGGAAGGAAUGACACCGUUACCCCCACUAUCUGCCCGAGCUCCAGCGGUACUACCGCUGAUUGCAGCGGUACUAGCGCCAGCGAGUGGUACUACCACUGGCUGCAGCGGUACUACCGCUGGCCCGAGCGGUACUACCGCUGGGCCCCUGGUAGUGCAAAGGCACUACCAUCGCCAAGAAAGUCUUCGCAAAAAGGUCCGUCCACGAACAACCGCUAGGCAGGCGGUACUAAGCUCCUGGAGCGGUACUACCGUUGACCAAUGGCGGUACUACCGCCAACCAGCGGUACUACCGCUAGGGCUAGCGGUACUACCGCCAACUCUAGCGGUACUACCGCUAGGUCCCGCGGUACUACCGCUCGACACUGAAACAACCAUAACUUUCGGAUACGAGCUCCGAAUCGAGCAAACCCAAGCUUGUUGGAUUCAGGACGACAAGAGCUAUCCAAACAGCCUUUCUCAUGGCAAACAUCCUUUAGGAAGUGUACAUAGAUUUAACACUGAACCUCUUUUUUCCCUAGCAUCCACACCUUCAUCAGUCAAUGUGGUGGAGUGGCAAACAUCCAGUAGGUCUUGCCAUUGCACAACCAAUUCCCCCCGCAAGCAUCUAUGAGAUUGGAGACAUGUCCCUUGAGAGUGAACAACUUAUAAACAAUUGACAUUUUUGCCAAAUGUAAGGUUAUAUAGACUUUGAAAUCUGGAAAUAAUAGAUGGCAUCCAUGUGAUUGGCAAUUAAAACCAUGUUUGCUUAGUUUUGAGUCCGUCUGUUCUCGGUGGUGCGAGCUGAUGCUGCAUUUUGAGAUUGUGUACAUAAGACGGUAAGACUGUUUGUAGGAGGAACUGGCUAGAGCCAUGGAUAGCUUAAGGUGGAUACCAGCUAAGGGAAUGUAAUGGAAGAUAAUCCAUGGAUACCAGCUAAGGGAAUGUAAUGGAAGAUAAAUUCUACAAAGUUUGCCAUGGAUUUUGAGUCAUGUCCUAAGCCACGUAUACUCUAUGUGCCCCCUGGCUUUCUGUUGGGCCUUGUAUAUUUGGUUUCUGGGAAGUACCGAGUUAGAAGAAAACUGUGCUAAGUGCUUAACUAGCAUAUAUUACCAGCCAUCCUCGUUAGUGAAGUGCCAUUUGGAACACUAUUUUGAGCCAUAAUACACUUUUACCUAUGACAAUGACUUGUUUCUCCUAGUCACAACUCUCCAAUCUUUAGCAUGAACUAACCUUAUUAGACACUCAACUUUAACUGUACUUCCAAGUUUUUGAAGUUGAUUCGAGAAGUUCACUCUCUCCAAUCCAAGAUGUAGGUUUCUUUUAGAGUUGGGCACAGGAUUAAUAGUGUAGGUAGCAAUGUUACCAUUUAUUUGUUUCUACAAUAAAUACAAGUGCUAGAGUUUCUUUUGGCAGCACAAUCAAUACUAGAGUUAUUACUAAUACUCGAUGAAACUAAUGAGGCGCUAAAUAAGCACACCAUGAGCAGAAAUGUGAUGUACUACAGUACUAGGCCUUAUUUGUCAGUUGAAAAGGCUAAACCACAAUUUUCCGUAUUUCCCAGUCAUUGCUGCUAAAUCUCGUUAGACUAAAUUAUCAGUUCCUCUAUAUCCGCAACCCCAGCCUUCAAGUUCUAAACCUUAUCUAGUCUAGAUUAAAUGAAUAUCACAUGUCACAAAGUAAAGCGAAGCAAUUGGUCUUUCCUUGUGCUUUCUAUUGGAACAGUCUCUUUCUAUCUGUGUUCCUGUAUUAUUCAGCUGCCACAUUUUGGUUCUUUAAUUGUCAACAAGUCCAAGUUUUUGCAGCCACUUUGAUGCAUUUGGAUUUAGCAAUUUCAGUUAUUACGUACACGAGUCUUUCUUGAUUAUAUUGCUUUCAAUAUGGUUAUCAUAUCUACUCACAGUCAACUCCCUUUUGCUGAAUAGAAUUGAGAAGCUGAAACGUGGUUUUGGUAUGCACAUCCCUGAAGAGUUUAGGUAGCUGGAUAUAAUGCGGGGUUACUGCAUUUCUAAUAAUCAGUUUAAUCACCUCCCUCGGAGCUAGCUAUUGGAGGGCAAGUUUGUGAUUUCUGCUGAACUUGACAUGGACGCUUUUUAAGUAGUACUUGGAGUGUUGGUGAGCAGCAGAUGUAGCACUCAAGCUGUGAUCACAUGAUCUUGUGGUUGUACUAUUGAUGACCUUGGUCCUACUAAUUCAGUUUAUUUGCUGAAAGCUAUGUUUGGAAAUGAUGCAAUCUGCCAGGCAACACUAAUUUCUCUGCAGCCUGUACUUAUGAGUGUUAUUGUCUUGAUGUAUUUUCUCACCACGGGAAGCCUUAGGUAUACGUAAAAUUAUCGUCUUGUAAUAUGUUCCUAGUGCUAUACUUCUCUAAUAUAUUUAUAUAUGUAAAUAUAUAUGUUACUCUUGUAUCAUCUCUUCCUAGUAUCAUAUGGUGCUUUGCUUCCGUGAUCUUGUGUAUUAGAAGUUGUUAACUAUUGUGUAUUAGAAGUUGUUAAAUAUUCAUUGGUGGCGGCCAUGUCUGCACCCGAGCUCAAAUGAGCUAUGUUGAACCGUAAAAUCAGAAAUAUAUAUAAAAAGAUCUAGUUUCAUUAUGGUAAACUAUGACAAAUGUUCUAAGAGUUUGCAAUAUUUCAUCACAAAAUCACAUUUGGAGUUGUAGCGAAAAAACAAAAUUGAUACUCUAAAAAUGCUAUUAUGAAAGCAUUUUAAAGCACUAAUUUUGUUUUUUCGUCAUCACUUUCAUAAAUGUGAUUUAGUGAUGAAAUUUUGAAACCUUUUAGAACAUUUAUCAUAAAAAAGUUCAGCUUUUUUGAAAUAUUUUAAAUAUUUUCGGAGUUGUUAAUCUCGGCUUAUUUGAGCUCUGGUGUAGAAAGGCAUUUUUGACACGCUUGUUAUCUAUAUGACCAACUCCUAACUGAGCUUGCUCGUAGUUGCGCAAAUUUGAAAUUGCUUGUGGCACUCUGUGUUCAUAUCUUCGCUCUGUUGUUCUUCAUGGAAAAAAAUGUUGAUGUGGAACUAUUUUUUUAGUACCGACCACAUUGAUGUUGUGGUGUGGAAGAAGGAUCAUCUUUCUCGUGAAUGGUGUUUUACGAGUUUCUAUGGAGCUUCGAAAGUCAAUGCUAAUCUCCGUUAGAGCGGUGUGGAGGCACAAUGCUCCCCAAGAUGCCACUAAGGCCACCGUAAUCUCCUCACGCCCUCGCACAAUGCAAGAUGCCGUGAUUCCACUAAGGGACCCUUGAGGGCGGUUACCGAACCCGUACAAAUGGCAAACCUUGGGGGCGGUCACCGAACCCGUACACGUGGCAACCCUUGGGGGCGGUUACCGGUACCCGUACAAAUUGCUCGGGGCUAUCUCCACAACCUAAUUGGAGGCCCCAACACUUUCCCGGAGCUUCACACCACAAUGAUUGAGCUCCGAGACACCACCAAGCUUCUAGGAUGCCAAAUCAUCCACGAAGAACAAUAUCUAGGGUACUAAGUACCAAAGGUAGUAAGCUUCUCAACUUUUCACUUCCACGUAUCACCGUGGAGAACUCAAACCGAUGCAACUAAUGCAAUGGGAAGAACACACGAAGUGGUCAAGUCCCUCACACUCAAAUCCCUCCACAACAACAAAAGCUAUGGAGAAAUAUGAGAGGAAGAAUAAGGAGCUCACAAAGAACUCCAAGAUCUAGAUCCAAGGGGUUCCCCUCACAUAGAGGAGAAAGUGAUUGGUGGAGAUGUGGAUCUAGAUCUCCUCUCUCAUUUCCCUCAAGAACAAGCAAGAAUCAUUGGAGGGAUUGAGAGUUAGCAAGCUCUAAGAAUGUCAACAAUGGAGGUAGAACAAGAGCUCAACGGAUAGAUGAGGCCAAGGGGGAAGAAGACCCCCUUUAUAUAGUGGGGGAAGGAAUCAGACCGUUACCCCCACUAUCUGCCCGAGCUCCAGCGGUACUACCGCUGGCUGCAGCGGUACUACCGCUGGCACUCCAGCGGUACUACCGCUGAUUGCAGCGGCACUACCGCCAGCUAGCGGUACUACCGCUGGCACUCCAGUGGUACUACCGCUGGCCCCAGCGGUACUACCGCUGGGCCUCUGGUAGUGCAAAGGCACUACCACCGCCAAGAUAGUCUUCGCAAAAAGGUCCGUCCAUGAACAACCGCUAGGCAGGCGGUACAAAGCUCCUGGAGCGGUACUACCGCUGACCGUGGCGGUACUACCGCCAACUCUAGCGGUACUACCGCUAGGUCCAGCGGUACUACCGCUCGCCACUGAAACAGCCACAACUUUCGCAUACGAGCUCCGAAUCGAGCAAACCCAAGCUUGUUGGAUUCAGGACGACAAGAGCUAUCCAAACAACCUUUCUCAUGGCAAACAUCCUUUAGGAAGUGUACAUAGAUUUAACACUGAACCCCUUUUUUACCUAGCAUCCACACCUUCAUCAGUCAAUGUGGUGGAGUGGCAAACAUCCAGUAGGUCUUGCCAUUGCACAGCCAAUUCCCCCCGCAAGCAUCUAUGAGAUUGGAGACAUGUCCCUUGAGAGUGAACAACUUAUAAAAAUUGACAUUUUUGCCAAAUGUAAGGUUAUAUAGACUUUGAAAUCUGGAAAUAAUAGAUGGCAUCCAUGUGAUUGGCAAUUAAAACCAUGUUUGCUUAGUUUUGAGUCCGUCUGUUCUCGGUGGUGCGAGCUCAUGCUGCAUUUUGAGAUUGUGUACAUAAGACGGUAAGACUGUUUGUAGGAGGAACUGGCUAGAGCCAUGGAUAGCUUAAGGUGGAGAAACAAGUGAAAAUCCAUGGAUACCAGCUAAGCGAAUGUAAUGGAAGAUAAUCCAUGGAUACCAGCUAAGGGAAUGUAAUGGAAGAUAAAUUCUACACAGUUUGCCAUGGGUUUUGAGUCAUGUCCUAAGCCACGUAUACUCUAUGUGCCCGCUGGCUUUCUGUUGGGCCUUGUAUAUUUGGUUUCUGGGAAGUACCGAGUUAGAAGAAAACUGUGCUAAGUGCUUACCUAGCAUAUAUUACCAGCCAUCCUCGUUAAGUGAAGUGCCAUUUGGAACACUAUUUUGAGCCAUAAUACACUUUUACCUAUGACAAUGACUUGUUUCUCCUAGUCACAACUCUCCAAUCUUUAGCAUGAACUACCCUUAUUAGACACUCAACUUUAACUGUACUUCCAAGUUUUUGAAGUUGAUUCGAGAAGUUCACUCUCUCCAAUCCAGGAUGUAGGUUUCUUUUAGAGUUGGGCACACGAUUAAUGGUGUAGGUAGCAAUGUUACCAUUUAUUUGUCUCUACAAUAAAUACAAGUGCUAGAGUUUCUUUUGGCAGCACAAUCAAUACUAGAGUUAUUACUAAUACUUGAUGAAACUAAUGAGGCGCUAAAUAAGCACACCAUGAGAAGAAAUGUGAUGUACUACAAUACUAGGCCUUAUUUGUCAGUUGAAAAGGCUAAACCACAAUUUUCCGUAUUUGCCAGUCCUUGCUGCUAAAUCUCGUUAGACUAAAUUAUCAGUUCCUCUAUAUCCGCAACCCCAGCCUUCAAGUUCUAAACCUUAUCUAGUCUAGAUUAAAUAAAUAUCACAUGUCACAAAGUAAAGCGAAGCAAUUGGUCUUUCCUUGUGCUUUCUAUUGGAACAGUCUCUUUCUAUCUGUGUUCCUGUAUUAUUCAGCUGCCACAUUUUGGUUCUUUAAUUGUCAACAAGUCCAAGUUUUUGCAGCCACUUUGAUGCAUUUGGAUUUAGCAAUUUCAGUUAUUACGUACACGAGUCUUUCUUGAUUAUAUUGCUUUCAAUAUGGUUAUCAUAUCUACUCACAAUCAUCUCCCUUUUGCUGAAUAGAAUUGAGAAGCUAAAGCGUGGUUUUGGUAUGCACGUCCCUGAAGAGUUUAGGUAGCUGGAUAUAAUGCGGGGUUCCUGCAUUUCUAAUAAUCAGUUUAAUCACCUCCCUCGGAGCUACCUAUUGGAGGGCAAGUUUGUGAUUUCUACUGAACUUGACAUGGACGCUUUUUAAGUAGUACUUGGAGUGUUGGUGAGCAGCAGAUGUAGCACUCAAGUUGUGAUCACAUGAUCUUGUGGUUGUACUAUUGAUGACCUUGGUCCUACUAAUUCAGUUUAUUUGCUGAAAGCUAUGUUUGAAAAUGAUGCAAUCUGCCAGGCAGCACUAAUUUCUCUGCAGCCUGUACUUCUGAGUGUUAUUGUCUUGAUGUAUUUUCUCACCAUGGGAAGCCUUAG